rnacentral:lncRNA from 15 species
GUUUUAAUGAGUCACGUAUCCAAGGGUUAUAUAUAGUAUUACCUUCACAUGUGAAGGUCUGUAUUUCUGGAAGAUCACAACCUUAUAACAACAUUCAACGGCUGGAUAUUAAACUUCUAGGUGCAGUGCUAACAAGUCAGGGACAGACGGACUUCAAUCUGCAAUGGAUGAUUCAGCCCAGGAAACAGGAGAAAGACAAACUCACAGAACCUCAAUGCAUUUCACAUGUUUAAUAUAUUGUUGUUUGUAGACCUACUAAAUGGUAGACGUUCUUGUGUUACUCAAGUAAUUUGUGUAUGUAAUAACACUGCAGCGAACAGAGGAUAACAAUAUAAUAUGAGAUGAUUAGACUUUUUGUAGCAUGCUGCACAUUGAUUUAAGAUUUUAUAUGGUUUGCUGAGUAACUAUGUAAGAAACAAUGCCAUGUAAAGCUGAAAUUAUGAGUAAAUUCAUCAAUGAUUUGUUUUUCUUUGCCCUAUGUGUCUGGAAAAUUAAUAAUUUGGGGUUUUGUUGAGACAAAACAAAAUAUUUGAAGAGCCCAAGUCAUUAAUCAUUAUUCACAAAAAAAAACAAAAAUGCUACAUUCAGUGUUUUCUUUUGUAUGUUUGGCUGUAGCAGGCAGUUGAAAACUGUGUAGGGGUUGUGUGUCUUAAUUGCUGAGAAUUAUAUUGUUCUUCUUUGUUAUGUUAUAAAUGUUUUGGGGGGUUGAUUUGACUGUGAGAUAAAGUGACCUAUAAUCAAGGUAAUCCAUGAACACUCCAAUAAAGUUGUAAGCCUCAAGAUUAAUUUACACAAUUAAAACCAGUAACAGUGGCUGUUGUGGUUCAUCUAAUCAGAGGGUGGAUUGUUCAAUUCCCAUCAAAAACAGGGUUUGAGUUCAUUAAAAAAUAUUAAGGAUUACAAGUGACAGUUGAACUAGCUGAAAACUGGCUGUCCAGAGACAAGAGACAAGGCAAUACAAUUUACAUAUAAUUGACACUGUAGUGCAUGAAUUGUAUGGGAAACAUGUACGACAAUAUAAGGAGCAUUUGUAUGAAAAGUAUAGACUAAUAAAACUCUGAAAGCUCAAACCAGUUGAGAUUGGUUUUUUUUGACACUCUUUUGACUCGCUCUAAACUACAACUAAUACUAACUUUAACUACAAUGUAUGGAUUUAUACUCACUUUAUUGGGCACACCUGUACAAUUUAAUGCAAUCCAUUAAAAC